AAGAGGNUGUAGCUGGCCUUUCGGGGCAUUGUGCACACCUUGCUCAAUUCCAACUCUUAACACCUGUGCACUCAUUGUAGGUUGACUUUCGAGAGAGUAUUCUUUAUGGGGUACGCUUAAGUGGUCUUCCUAUGUUUAUAACAAACUCUUAUUUUAUUUGAAUGUCACUUUGCGCUAUUAAUAACGCAUGAAAUAUAACUUUCAGCAACGGAUCUCUUGGCUCUCGCAUCGAUGAAGAACGCAGCGAAAUGCGAUAAGUAAUGUGAAUUGCAGAAUUCAGUGAAUCAUCGAAUCUUUGAACGCAUCUUGCGCCCUUUGGUAUUCCGAAGGGCAUGCCCGUUUGAGUGUCAUUGUAUUAUCAAAUCCCUUCAUUCUUGUGAAGUGGGUAUUGGAUUUGGAGGUCUUUGCGGGUUUCACUGUAAAUCUGCUCCUCUUGAAUACAUUAGCUAGAAACCUUUUGUUAGGCUGGCUUCAGUGUGAUAAUUGUCUGCACUGUAGUCGUCUAGCACUUGUAUAAAGGAUUUUGCUUCUUAAUCGUCUUUUCUUAAGACAAUCUUGACAUCUGACCUCAAAUCGGGUAGGACUACCCGCUGAACUUAAGCAUAUCAAUAAGCGGAGGAAAAGAAACUAACAAGGAUUCCCCUAGUAACUGCGAGUGAAGCGGGAAAAGCUCAAAUUUAAAAUCUGGCGGUUUUGGCCGUCCGAGUUGUAGUCUGGAGAAGUGCUUUCCGCGCUGGACCGUGUACAAGUCUCUUGGAACAGAGCGUCAUAGAGGGUGAGAAUCCCGUCUUUGACACGGACUACCAGUGCUUUGUGAUGCGCUCUCAAAGAGU
rnacentral:rRNA from 1 species